rnacentral:rRNA from 1 species
UACGAAGGGGGCUAGCGUUGUUCGGAUUUACUGGGCGUAAAGCGCACGUAGGCGGCUUGGUAUGUCGGGUGUGAAAUCCCCGGGCUCAACCUGGGAACUGCAUCCGAAACUGCCUUGCUCGAGUAUGGGGAGAGGGAAGUGGAAUUUCCGGUGUAGCGGUGAAAUGCGUAGAUAUCUGGAGGAAUACCGGUGGCGAAGGCGGCAUCCUGGACCGACAUUGACGCUGAACGGCGAAAGCUAAGGGGAGCGA